AUUGAACGCUGGCGGCAUGCUUUACACAUGCAAGUCGAACGGUAACAGGUUAAGCUGACGAGUGGCGAACGGGUGAGUAAUGCAUCGGAACGUGCCCGAUCGUGGGGGAUAACGCAGCGAAAGCUGCGCUAAUACCGCACACGAUCUGAGGAUGAAAGCGGGGGACCGUAAGGCCUCGCGCGAUCGGAGCGGCCGAUGUCAGAUUAGGUAGUUGGUGGGGUAAAGGCUCACCAAGCCAACGAUCUGUAGCUGGUCUGAGAGGACGACCAGCCACACUGGGACUGAGACACGGCCCAGACUCCUACGGGAGGCAGCAGUGGGGAAGUUUGGACAAUGGGCGAAAGCCUGAUCCAGCAAUGCCGCGUGCAGGAAGAAGGCCUUCGGGUUGUAAACUGCUUUUGUACGGAGCGAAAAGGUUCUCUCUAAUACAGAGGGCUCAUGACGGUACCGUAAGAAUAAGCACCGGCUAACUACGUGCCAGCCGCCGCAGUAA
rnacentral:rRNA from 1 species